rnacentral:rRNA from 1 species
UCAUAUGCUUGUCUCAAAGAUUAAGCCAUGCAUGUCUAAGUGCACACCGCAUUAAGGUGAAACCGCGAAUGGCUCAUUAAAUCAGUCUUGGUUCCUUAGAUCGUACCAUCCUACUUGGAUAACUGUGGUAAUUCUAGAGCUAAUACAUGCCGACAAGCUCCGACCCUCGUGGGACGAGCGCUUUUAUUAGAACAAGACCAAUACGGAUCGGCAACGGUCCGUCUGUUUUUGGUGACUCUGGAUAACUUGAAGCAGAUCGCACGGUCCUCGAACCGGCGACGCAUCUUUCAAAUGUCUGACUUAUCAACUGUCGAUGGUAGGUUAUAUGCCUACCAUGGUUGUAACGGGUAACGGGGAAUCAGGGUUCGAUUCCGGAGAGGGAGCCUGAGAAACGGCUACCACAUCCAAGGAAGGCAGCAGGCACGCAAAUUACCCACUCCCGGCACGGGGAGGUAGUGACGAAAAAUAACAAUACGAGACUCUUCCGAGGCCUCGUAAUUGGAAUGAGUACACUUUAAAACUUUUAACGAGGAUCAAUUGGAGGGCAAGUCUGGUGCCAGCAGCCGCGGUAAUUCCAGCUCCAAUAGCGUAUAUUAAAGUUGCUGCGGUUAAAAAGCUCGUAGUUGGAUCUCGGUGACGAACCGGCGGUCCGCCUCGUCGCGGUACACUGCCGGCAUCGAAGCCAUUUUACCGGGCGUCCUCGGUGCUCUUUGCUGAGUGUCUUGGGUGACCGGAACGUUUACUUUGAACAAAUUAGAGUGCUUAAAGCAGGCGAGUCCCGCCCGCAUAGCCCAGCAUGGAAUAAUGGAAUAGGACCUCGGUUCUAUUUUGUUGGUUUUCGGAACCCGAGGUAAUGAUUAAUAGGGACUGACGGGGGCAUUCGUAUUGCGGCGCGAGAGGUGAAAUUCUUGGACCGUCGCAAGACGAACUACUGCGAAAGCAUUUGCCAAGAAUGUUUUCAUUAAUCAAGAACGAAAGUUAGAGGUUCGAAGGCGAUCAGAUACCGCCCUAGUUCUAACCAUAAACGAUGCCAACCAGUAAUCCGCCGGAGUUCCUCCGAUGACUCGGCGGGCAGCUUCCGGGAAACCAAAGCGUUCGGGUUCCGGGGGAAGUAUGGUUGCAAAGCUGAAACUUAAAGGAAUUGACGGAAGGGCACCACCAGGAGUGGAGCCUGCGGCUUAAUUUGACUCAACACGGGGAAACUCACCCGGGCCGGACACUGGAAGGAUUGACAGAUUGAGAGCUCUUUCUUGAUUCAGUGGGUGGUGGUGCAUGGCCGUUCUUAGUUGGUGGAGCGAUUUGUCUGGUUAAUUCCGAUAACGAACGAGACUCUAGCCUGCUAAAUAGCUGGCCCAUACGAUCGGUUAGCCUUUACCGUCACAAGCUGUGGGUAUUGGUCUUUCCGGAGUGGGUCACUCGCUUCUUAGAGGGACAAGCGGUGUCUAGCCGCGCGAGAAUGAGCAAUAACAGGUCUGUGAUGCCCUUAGAUGUCCGGGGCCGCACGCGCGCUACAAUGAGAGGUUGAACAGGUCAGUUUCCCUCGUCCGAAAGGACCGGGUAACCCUGUGAGAUCCUUUCUUGGUUGGAAUCGGGGCCUGGAACCAACCCCGUGAACUAGGAAUUCCUAGUAGGCGCGAGUCAUCAACUCGCGCCGAUUACGUCCCUGCCCUUUGUACACACCGCCCGUCGCUACUACCGAUUGAAUGAUUUAGUGAGGUCUUCGGACUGGCGGUUGCUGCGGCCCUCGGGUCGCGGCGGCGUGCCGGGAAGAUGACCGAACUUGACCAUUUAGAGGAAGUAAAAGUCGUAACAAGGUUUCC